rnacentral:rRNA from 1 species
CGGUAACAUUUCUAGCUUGCUAGAAGAUGACGAGUGGCGGAUGGGUGAGUAAUACUUAGGAAUAUGCCUUUGUGUGGGGGAUAACCAUUGGAAACGAUGGCUAAUACCGCAUAAUGUCUUCGGACCAAAGGGGGCCUUGGCUCCCGCGCAAAGAGUAGCCUAAGCGAGAUUAGCUUGUUGGUGAGGUAAAGGCUCACCAAGGCGACGAUCUCUAGCUGUUCUGAGAGGAAGAUCAGCCACACUGGAACUGAGACACGGUCCAGACUCCUACGGGAGGCAGCAGUGGGGAAUAUUGCACAAUGGGGGAAACCCUGAUGCAGCCAUGCCGCGUGUGUGAAGAAGGCCUUCGGGUUGUAAAGCACUUUCAGUUGUGAGGAAAGGUUAACGGUUAAUACCCGUUAGCUGUGACGUUAGCAACAGAAGAAGGACCGGCUAACUCCGUGCCAGCAGCCGCGGUAAUACGGAGGGUCCGAGCGUUAAUCGGAAUUACUGGGCGUAAAGCGCACGCAGGCGGUUUGUUAAGCUAGAUGUGAAAGCCCUGGGCUCAACCUGGGAAUUGCAUUUAGAACUGGCAGGCUAGAGUUUUGGAGAGGGGAGUGGAAUUCCAGGUGUAGCG